rfam:Clostridiales bacterium S5-A11 contig013, whole genome shotgun sequence.
AAAUAGCAUACCAAUAAAACUAAGGAUUCUUUAAAGAGUCUUAUUUUGUGAUGAAAAUUUAAUAUAUAAAUCUCAGACGAUAGAAAAUCAAAAAUUCUGUCGUCUUUUUU